AGCAGCCGCGGUAAUUCCAGCUCCAAUAGCGUAUAUUAAAGUUGCUGCAGUUAAAAAGCUCGUAGUUGAAUUUCGGGACCGAUAUAUCGGUCGUGCCUCGGUACGUACUGGUAUUUUCGGUUUCUACCUUCUGACGAACCUUGAUGUCAUUAAUUUGGUGUCUUGGGGAAUCAGGACUGUUACUUUGAAAAAAUUAGAGUGUUUAAGCAGGCUCACGCUUGAAUACAUUAGCAUGGAAUAAUGAAAUAGGACGUUUGAUUCUAUUUUGUUGGUUUUUAGGAUCGACGUAAUGAUUAAUAGGGAUAGUUGGGGGCAUUAGUAUUCAAUUGUCAGAGGUGAAAUUCUUGGAUUUAUUGAAGACAACUACUGCGAAAGCAUUUGCCAAGGAUGUUUUCAUUAAUCAAGAACGAAAGUUAGGGGAUCGAAGACGAUCAGAUACCGUCGUAGUCUUAACCAUAAACUAUGCCGACUAGGGAUCGGAUGAUGUUAAUUUUUUAAUGACUCAUUCGGCGCCUUACGG
rnacentral:rRNA from 1 species